rnacentral:lncRNA from 1 species
UAUAAAGUCCAUACCAUACUACCAGCUUUAAGGAAUGGUACAAGCUGCAUUUAUUGUCUAUUAGUUAAAAGAAAGAUUAUAGCUUGGCACAGUAUAGAUCUUAGCACUUCAAUAAGUAGAUCCUGAAUAAAAAUCUUGUGGACAAUGGGGCGGAAGAGCAAGAAAAGAUUAUCACCUACGCAACAACCAGUCCAUGAAUAUCAUAGCCAGGGACAUAGAAAAUGUCAUCAAUUACAGCGUUUCCAAAGCCCAAUUCCACCUAUGAUAGAUGUCAAUUUCACAGUAUUAGAACACUGAAUGUUGUAGCAAUGUAGGAUCCCUUAAAGAAUAAGAUAUCCGGAAAAAGGCAGUAACUAAAAAAAGAGAAUUUUGUGGAUAGUAAUCACACCUCUGUGGAACCUUUGACUUCAAUGAAUAAAUCAUUAUGUGCAGCACAUACAUUGUAAUUCCCUAUAUUCCAGAAUUUUUUUUAAAAUAACCAGGCCUUUGUAGUGCUACUAAUAAAUAAGGAAUCCUACUAUACUGAAAACUCCUACAGUGAAAAUUAUUACUUGAGAAAACUAUAUGUAAAAUAUAAAACAAGACAUAAAAAUAAAACAAAUUUCAACUAGGUAUGACGGUAUAUCUAGAUGAAUUCUCACCUCUUUAAUCAUAGACAGAUACUCUCCAGCUGGCUGAAAGAGAAACUCAUUGUCCUGCAUGCAAUAAUCACAAUAGCUUUAUAAUCACAAGUGCACCCAUUAGAUGCAAAAGACUGUGCAAAUGAAGCAAACCAGCUGGUCAGGAAGUUUCUCAGGUUUAAUAUGGUCAGCAGGUACUGCAGUAGUGUCUCGUAGCGGGUAUAUAAAGUCCAUACCAUACUACCAGUGAGAGCGAAGCUACUGAGGUACGUACUCUAUUACCGCAUCACAUGAAAUUAUAUAAGAAGUUGAAAGACAGUGAAGUGCCUACAAACUUUAAGGAAAUCUAAAAACAUCAUCAGUAAUUAAAUCACCUAUAUCCCAUGUUGCUAGUUUUAUUUUCUUUCCCCCAACUUGAAAAUACUUUACCUUUAAAUCAAUACCUGCAUAUAUGGAAGAAUAGGAAGAUAUAAAUAUUAAAUACUUAAAAAGCACAAGAAAAACAAUACUACUCAGUAAGAUUUGAAGCCAGCAAACUGUUUUCAACUCAAAACUGGUUGCUGUGAAUAUAUAGUUAGAUAAACACCACAAUUUGAAUUCCCAAUUCCACAAAAUCGACAAUUUCAAGUAAGAUUUUGCAAGAGGCAAAACACAAAUUAUAAUUGAAGCACAAAAACAUAUUUUCUUAUAGAAUUUAAGACUUAUCAGUUUCAACAUGAAAGCGCGUAUCAAAAUGAGACAGACAAGCUUGGAGCUGUUAAACGCAAUACAUACAUCAAACAUCAAACAGAGUCACAAUUGAAGAUCUAAUUUAAAAUUCCCAAUAUAAAUCUUUGACAAAAUCAUAAUCAAAACCCUAAUUUUAAAAUGCUCAAUUAAAAAGCUUCGACAACAUCACAAAUCGAAGCCCAGAUGCGACUCAAACGAAAUCUCAAUUGAAAGCCUAAUCAACAACAAACUCUAAUUGAAACAAACAAUUCGACUUAAUAACAAAUAAAAUCGAUUGAGGGAAGAAAGUUCAGUUUUUUACCUUCAAGCUUGAAAUUAUCCGAGCUUGAGUUUUCCUCAGCUUGAAUGUUCGAUUUGGAGUGUUCCUCGACCGCAAAUCUUCAAGCUUGAAUGUUCCAGGUUAAGUAUUCUUCGAGCUUGAAUCUCCUCUGUCACCGCUGAAUCUCCUCUCUCGCCUCUUUGUCGUCUCCAUGAGUAGCAGGUGUGUUUUUCACUUAGUCUGGGUGUAAAGAAAUGUUUUGGGU